UGGGUGAUCUGCCCUGCACUUUGGGAUAAGCCUGGGAAACUGGGUCUAAUACCGAAUACACCCUGCUGGUCGCAUGGCCUGGUGGGGGAAAGCUUUUGCGGUGUGGGAUGGGCCCGCGGCCUAUCAGCUUGUUGGUGGGGUGAUGGCCUACCAAGGCGACGGCGGGUAGCCGGCCUGAGAGGGUGUCCGGCCACACUGGGACUGAGAUACCGGCCCAGACCUCCGUACGGGAGCA
rnacentral:rRNA from 1 species